UUUUCUUAAAACAUCUCUAAAGCAUGGAUCUAGGGUUUUUCUCCAUCACGUUUCUACUACUGCAAUUCCUCAUGGAAAUCAUUGGAAUCAAACUCAAGUCUAGGUUCUAGUACACAAAUAUGGAGAAACCACAUUCGUGCCUUCUCUUCUGCUACUGAAUCGCUUCAGAUCCGGACAUGGAUUUUAUUCCAAGACAUCAGUUUAAGAUUCUUCAAGUUUUGUGAAGAGCGGUCUAAUUUACUCGACACCUAGAGGUUGUACAAAGCAUCAUAAGCGAGCUUGAAUCACAAGGGGGCUUUUGAGAAUUAAUUCAAGGGUUUCAUCGCUGGCUACCUGUUGUGGGCUAAGUUCAUCUCGCAUCUAUCCACGUUCUAAUUUCAUCAUGGAAUCAAUCAUCCACUUUAAAAUCUUAGAUUUCCGGUUUAUCUUUAAGAUGAUGCAAUGAAGCGGUUGGUGAAGGAUGAUGAAUUGAUGUCCAUUCAACAUCUAGCUUGUUGUUAGCCUGAAAUAUAAUGCCACUGGUUCGCUAGCGAGCAGCAGCGCACGUUCCACCACUCGGUCUCACCAGAUUAACGCAACCAUGAGAUGGGAUUGGUAAAGGUAAAGGUAAAUAUAUCCUUAUUUUAAAUGGUACUGAUGUAGUCAGAUCAUUCUUAGUUCAGGUAUCUUAAGAUUAUACUAAGACUAUAACUAGCUUGGUCUACUUUUGAUAUUGGAUACAAGGGACUGCUAUUGUUACUUGAAGCACAAAAAGAAUGAAUACCCAUUUACCUCUCUUGGAGCUUAUCAAGAUGGCUUUAAACAUUGCUCGUGGAAUGGAAUACAUCCAUUCGCAAGGCGUUAUUCACAGGGAUCUGUAGCCUGGAACUUACCGUUGGCAUGUCUCCAGCUUAAAAUUGCCGAUUUUGGCAUCGGUUGUGAGGAGGCGUAUUGCGAUUUUUUGGCAGAUGAUCCUGGAACUUAUCGUUGGAUGUCUCCCAAGAUGAUUAAACGGAAAUCCUAUGGUCGGAAAGUUGAGUGUACGGAUUUGGGCUCAUUUUAUGGGAGAUGGUGGCCGGGACGAUCCCAUAUAAAGAUAUGACUCCAAUACAAUCUGCAUUUGCCGUAGUCCAUAAGGUAUAUCGUCUUCAUUUGUCACAUAUAUACAUUGGUGUGCUAAACGGGUCGUGGGUUGAACACGGCACGAACCCGAAACACUGCAUGAACCUGAAAAUUGUGUCUGGCAGGUGAACCUGAACAUGUGUCAGAUACGGGAUUACAAAAUAUUUAGUGUAUGCACACCUAUAGAUUAUCAAUAAUAAUUAACUAAACCAAACAUACCAGGACAAAGUUUAAGGCUUUAUUGAACCUGAUCCAACAUACCAGGAAAGAUAGUUCUUGUGUAAACUUUUCCCUUGCAGCAAUAAGAAUCUGAAAUUUUCGACGAUCGCAUAUGUUACAUGUUACAAUCGAUUUUAGAGAUAGAGAGAAACUAGAGAGCUUGGUUUGAAAAAGCGUGCCUCAGGCGUGAGGCACUCGAGGCGUUUGAAAAACACUUUUAUUUUUUUUGUCUUACAUGAAGCGCUGAGGCUAUAACUGUUGAUGGAAAAGAAGGUCCACCUGAUGUUUGCGUCAUUGAGUUGGGGGGAGAUAUUGAAUCUAUGCCGUUUAUUGAAGCUUUUGGACAAUUCUCUUGCCGCGUUGGUUAAGUUGUCAACCGGAGAAAUGGUUGAUCUUUAUACCCUGGUGUUUACCAAACACCGCCAAAAGGCAUAACCAAUGGAAGGGUUUGUUCGGAAGGCUCGACUGGAAGGGUUUCAGCUGGUGACUAUGUUGAAUCCAUCUGUCCUGCAAGAACAUAAUGUUCCAGUUUACAGCGUAUUACAGGAGCCUGGGAAUUUUGUCAUCACCUUUCCUAGAUCUUAUCAUGGAGGUUCCAACUUUGGUUUAAAUUGUGAGGAAGCUGUGAAUUUUGCACCCGUUGAUUGGUUAUCUUAUGGUGGUUCUGAAGCGGAGCGUUAUCAGCAUUAUCGCUGACCUGCUGUUCUGUCUCAUGAACAGCUUCUUUGUGGGGUAGUCAAGGUAUGAUUUUCCAUCAAUGAUCUGGGAUUUGGGGACUAAUAGCGCAGGCCAGUUAAAGUACACCCGACCAUACUUGAUUGAACUCAUCCGAUAUAUAGCAGCAAUAUAAUCAUUCAGGGAAUUACUAUUUUUGCACCAGUUAGAUCUCUGAAUACUGAUGGAAUCAACCUCGAUUCUUGCACAAAUACAUGAAUUGAGGACUGUUACAUUGUGUCUGGGGACAAUUGUGUAGCUGUGAAGAGCGGUUGGGACGAGUACGGGAUUGCGUACAGUAUGCCGACCCAACAACUUGUAAUCCGGUGGCUCACAUGCAUUUCACCAACGAGUGCGGUCAUUGCUUUAGGAAGUGAAAUGUCGGGCGGCAUUCAAGACGUCCGAGCCGAAGACAUUGUAGCCAUCAACUCCGAGACAGGAGUCCGGAUCAAAACCGGUGUUGGAAGAGGUGGGUUCGUGAAAGACAAAUACGUAAAAGGGUUCACCAUGCACACCAUGAAAUGGGCAUUUUGGAUGAUGGGUAACUACGGGUCCCACCCUGAUGACAAAUGGGACACGAAUGCGAUCCCCAUUAUCCAAAACAUAAACUACCAAGACAUGGUGGCGGAAAAUGUCACCAUGGCGGCUAGAUUGGAGGGGAUUGCCAGUGAUCCUUUUACGGGGAUUUGUAUAUCGAAUGUGACUAUUGGAAUAUCAUAGUUUACAUAAGUAAUAAUAAUGCAGUAUGGAUUGGUAUGAAUGUAUGUAUGUAUUCUUUUAUUUCAACUUCAUUUUAAUCAAAAUUUGAAUUUAGAUAAAGAUGGUUGAAACUAAAAUGUGAUGAAGUACAUACGAUUAUAAAAUUCAUUCUGAAAGCUACAAGUUAAAUAAU
rnacentral:lncRNA from 1 species